rnacentral:rRNA from 1 species
UACGGAGGGUGCAAACGUUGCUCGGAAUUAUUGGGCGUAAAGCGCACGUAGGCGGCGCGUUAAGUCGGGUGUGAAAGCCCUGGGCUCAACCCAGGAAGUGCAUUCGAAACUGGCGCGCUUGAAUAUGGAAGAGGGUCGCGGAAUUCCCGGUGUAGAGGUGAAAUUCGUAGAUAUCGGGAGGAACACCAGUGGCGAAGGCGGCGACCUGGGCCAAUAUUGACGCUGAGGUGCGAAAGCGUGGGGAGCAAACAGG